rnacentral:piRNA from 1 species
UGAUAACUGUGUCCCAGGCCAGAGAUCAC